UACGGAGGAUGCGAGCGUUAUCCGGAUUUAUUGGGUUUAAAGGGUGCGUAGGCGGUAUUUUAAGUUAGUGGUAAAACGUCGGGGCUUCACCUUGAUUGGCCAUUAAAACUGGAGUACUAGAGUACAGACGAGGUAGGCGGAAUGCGUGGUGUAGCGGUGAAAUGCAUAGACAUCACGCAGAACUCCGAUUGCGAAGGCAGCUUACUAAGCCAUAACUGACACUGAAGCACGAAAGCGUGGGGAUCAAACAGG
rnacentral:rRNA from 1 species